CACUUCUCAACCCCAUAAGUACAUGCAUCUAUUAUUCUAACUGCACAGCAGCUUUUGUGUUUAUGUUUUGCAUCACAGAUGACAUACAUAACAAUACAUGGUAACAUGAAACUAUGGGUCAUAAGCUAAACUUUUCCUUUGUGAACACAGAAUAGAACCGAUGCACAACUGGCCGCUUUGCAUGAGGAGAAUUCCCACAGUGGGAGAAGUGUUCCCUGGACCCUGCAGAUGGUAAAGUUAACAUUUGAGAGAGAGCACAAGCAGGAAUAGCAGCAGAGGGAGAGGAGGAAAGAGGCUCAUGACCUGAGAUCAUGACCUGAACCAAAGGCAGACUCUUAACCAUCUGACCACCCAGGCAUCCCUAUGGUUCAGUGCAACCAUUUCAGUUGAAAUCACCCCUUCCUGGAUUCCAGGUGUAUCUAAUAAAAGUACCCAUGUAAACCAGCUUAUCCUGUAUCCCGGCAGAAAGGUCAUCCCUAUUCUCAUGGUGGAGCAGUCACUUUACCAAAGAAAGCAUCUCACCAAAAAAGAGACCACUCCUGGAUACCUCCUCCGUAUGAGAAAAAAGCAGUAAUUGCUACACCUAACACAGGACUCAAACUCAUAAUCCUGAGAUCAAGAGCCACGUGCUAUACCAACUGAGCCA
rnacentral:lncRNA from 1 species